UGAGGAAUAUUGCGCAAAUGGGGCCAACCCCUGACGCAGCAAUGCCGCGUGUGGAAGAAGGCUUUCGGGUUGUAAACCACUUUUGCCCGGACGAAAGGGGGACCCUGAAUAAGGUUGCCCGAUGACGGUACCGGGAGAAUAAGCCACGGCUAACUCUGUGCCAGCAGCCGCGGUAAGACAGAGGUGGCAAGCGUUGUUCGGAGUUACUGGGCGUAAAGAGUCUGUAGGUGGUCUGUCAAGUCUUUGGUGAAAGGCCGUGGCUUAACCAUGGGAAUGCCAAAGAGACUGGCAGACUGGAGGCUGGGAGAGGGAAGCGGAAUUUCUGGUGUAGCGGUGAAAUGCGUAGAUAUCAGAAGGAAGGCCGGUGGCGAAGGCGGCUUCCUGGAACAGACCUGACACUGAGAGACGAAAGCGUGGGGAGCAAACAGGAUUAGAUACCCUGGUAGUCCACGCCCUAAACGAUGGGUACUAAGUGUGGGAGGGUUGAACCUCCCGUGCCGCAGCCAACGCAGUAAGUACCCCGCCUGGGGAGUACGGCCGCAAGGUUG
rnacentral:rRNA from 1 species